UCCCUAGUAGCUCAGAUAGUAAAGAAUCUGCCUGUAAUGCAGGAGACCUGGGUUCUAUUCCUGGCUCUGGAA
rfam:TPA: Bos taurus chromosome 14, whole genome shotgun sequence.